rnacentral:rRNA from 1 species
UACGUAGGUCCCGAGCGUUGUCCGGAUUUAUUGGGCGUAAAGCGAGCGCAGGCGGUUUGAUAAGUCAGAAGUAAAAGGCUGUGGCUCAACCAUAGUACGCUUUUGAAACUGUCAAACUUGAGUGCAGAAGGGGGGAGUGGAAUUCCAUGUGUAGCGGUGAAAUGCGUAGAUAUAUGGAGGAACACCGGUGGCGAAAGCGGCUCUCUGGCCUGUAACUGACACUGAGGCUCGAAAGCGUGGGGAGCAAACAGG